GACGAACGCUGGCGGCGUGCUUAACACAUGCAAGUCGAACGGAAAGGCCCUGCUUUUGUGGGGUGCUCGAGUGGCGAACGGGUGAGUAACACGUGAGUAACCUGCCCUUGACUUUGGGAUAACUUCAGGAAACUGGGGCUAAUACCGGAUAGGAGCUCCUGCUGCAUGGUGGGGGUUGGAAAGUUUCGGCGGUUGGGGAUGGACUCGCGGCUUAUCAGCUUGUUGGUGGGGUAGUGGCUUACCAAGGCUUUGACGGGUAGCCGGCCUGAGAGGGUGACCGGCCACAUUGGGACUGAGAUACGGCCCAGAGUCCUACGGGAGGCAGCAGUGGGGAAUAGUGCACAAUGGGCGGAAGCCUGAUGCAGCAACGCCGCGUGCGGGAUGACGGCCUUCUGGUGGUAGACCGCUUUCGCCUGUGACGAAGCGUGAGUGACGGUAAUGUGUAAAGAAGCACCGGCUAACUACGUG
rnacentral:rRNA from 1 species